GACGAACGCUGGCGGCGUGCUUAACACAUGCAAGUCGAACGAAGUGGCGAACGGGUGAGUAACGCGUAAUCAACCUGCCCAUCAGCGGGGGACAACAGUUGGAAACGACUGCUAAUACCGCAUACUGAAGGUGGGGAUGGCGUCUGAUUAGCUAGUUGGGGGGGUAACGGCCCACCAAGGCGAUGAUCAGUGGCCGGUCCGAGAGGAUGAACGGGACAAAUGGGACUGAGACAAGGCCCAGACUCCUACGGGAGGCAGGAGUGGGGAAUCUUUCGCAAUGGAAGAAAGUCUGACGGAGCAACGCCGCGUGAGUGAUGAAGGCCUUCGGGUUGUAAAGCUCUGUUAAUCGGGACGCGGUACCGAAAUAGAAAGCCACGGCUAACUACGUGCCAGCAGCCGCGGUAAUUC
rnacentral:rRNA from 1 species